rnacentral:rRNA from 1 species
CGAGCGGCGGACGGGUGAGUAACACGUGGGCAACCUGCCUGUAAGAUCGGGAUAACUCCCGGGAAACCGGGGCUAAUACCGGGUAAUACUUUCUUUCGCAUGAAGGAAAGUUGAAAGAUGGCUUCUCGCUAUCACUUACAGAUGGGCCCGCGGCGCAUUAGCUAGUUGGUGAGGUAACGGCUCACCAAGGCGACGAUGCGUAGCCGACCUGAGAGGGUGAUCGGCCACACUGGGACUGAGACACGGCCCAGACUCCUACGGGAGGCAGCAGUAGGGAAUCUUCCGCAAUGGACGAAAGUCUGACGGAGCAACGCCGCGUGAACGAUGAAGGUCUUCGGAUCGUAAAGUUCUGUUGUUAGGGAAGAACAAGUACCGUGCGAAUAGAGCGGUACCUUGACGGUACCUAACGAGGAAGCCCCGGCUAACUACGUGCCAGCAGCCGCGGUAAUACGUAGGGGGCAAGCGUUGUCCGGAAUUAUUGGGCGUAAAGCGCGCGCAGGCGGUUCCUUAAGUCUGAUGUGAAAGCCCACGGCUCAACCGUGGAGGGUCAUUGGAAACUGGGGAACUUGAGGACAGAAGAGGAGAGUGGAAUUCCACGUGUAGCGGUGAAAUGCGUAGAUAUGUGGAGGAACACCAGUGGCGAAGGCGACUCUCUGGUCUGUUUCUGACGCUGAGGUGCGAAAGCGUGGGUAGCAAACAGGAUUAGAUACCCUGGUAGUCCACGCCGUAACCCUUUGUUUUCUAGGUGUUAGGGGGCUUCCACCCCUUAGUGCUGAAGUU